CCGAGAAUUCUAAUUGCGUCUGUUAAACGAUGCCGUUGCUACUUUCUCCGUGGAGAUAACACUUUCCUUAACCCCUCCAAAAACCACAAAACCCAGAAAUUUCCCUUUUCACUUGCACUGGAAAAGAGCUUCAAUGGCAUCCUUGUUGGUCUCCAUCAACUUCUCUAUGCCUCUCUCCGCCCCUAAAUUCUCAUUCAGGGAAUUACAACAAAGGAAAUCAGCUUUUACUUGACUAUCAAGCCAAGCAACAACCAGGACAGCAACCAACCGAUUGGUCCCUUGCAACUCAAUUAGAGAUCACUUUCUGUGAAUCAGAGCUUCCGUGGAUAUCUAACAACACCCACCAACCUUUAUUACGAACUUGUUUCUAGUUGUAUGCAUUUCCUGGGACCGUUGAAGAUCAAGGUGAGGAUUUUGUUUUCAAGCUUGAAAUACGAAUGCAGCUCUUGAAUCUGUGUCGUAGGGCUCGCAACAAUUUGCAAUAAUGCUGCACUUGCUUAUGGCAAGCUAAUGCAUUGCACAUGGACAACCCAUGAUCAUAUUAUCCUGUCCUGUAAAAUUGGUGCACAAAACGUGGUCCAACACUUGUUCGGUUUGGUUUAAUUCGGAUUCACUGUUGCCAAGUGCUUUCCGACAAGCAAUGUGGUGCAACCAGGUUGUGAAACUCAAUGCCGUGAUUCACGGUCGGAGCCCAUGGAAGCAGCAUUGAUUGAAAUCAUUCUAUCAUGAAUGUCAUUACCUCAUAUUGCAUUGACAUAUAGUUGGUCCCAGAAUCUCGAGGUUAUCAAAUAAUUCAUUGUAUCAAGAAAACCCUUAAUGAUGUUAUUUGCGUUGGUAUAGUUGGCACUUGGAAUGUUUUCAAGUUCCAUCCUUUGUCUCUCACAUUUUCUCAUAUCAUGUAUGAUUUCUCUCAUUUUGUUGGGAAACAACUUUAAGUGGGACGUCUGUCCUUUCCUCUC